CCGGCCGGGCGUGCUUAGUACGGCGAGUGAAGCGGCAAAAGCUCAAAUUUGAAAUCUGGUACCUUCGGUGCCCGAGUUGUAAUUUGGAGAGGGCAACUUUGGGGCCGUUCCUUGUCUAUGUUCCUUGGAACAGGACGUCAUAGAGGGUGAGAAUCCCGUGUGGCGAGGAGUGCGGUUCUUUGUAAAGUGCCUUCGAAGAGUCGAGUUGUUUGGGAAUGCAGCUCUAAGUGGGUGGUAAAUUCCAUCUAAAGCUAAAUAUUGGCGAGAGACCGAUAGCGAACAAGUACAGUGAUGGAAAGAUGAAAAGAACUUUGAAAAGAGAGUGAAAAAGUACGUGAAAUUGUUGAAAGGGAAGGGCAUUUGAUCAGACAUGGUGUUUUGUGCCCUCUGCUCCUUGUGGGUAGGGGAAUCUCGCAUUUCACUGGGCCAGCAUCAGUUUUGGUGGCAGGAUAAAUCCAUAGGAAUGUAGCUUGCCUCGGUAAGUAUUAUAGCCUGUGGGAAUACUGCCAGCUGGGACUGAGGACUGCGACGUAAGUCAAGGAUGCUGGCAUAAUGGUUAUAUGCCGCCCGUCUGAA
rnacentral:rRNA from 1 species